CCUGGUUGAUCCUGCCAGUAGUCAUAUGCUUGUCUCAAAGAUUAAGCCAUGCAUGUCUCAGUACAAGCCAAAUUAAGGUGAAACCGCGAAAGGCUCAUUAAAUCAGUUAUGGUUCCUUAGAUCGUACCCACAUUUACUUGGAUAACUGUGGUAAUUCUAGAGCUAAUACAUGCAAACAGAGCUCCGACCGGAGACGGAAGGAGUGCUUUUAUUAGAUCAAAACCAAUCGGCGGGAAUAGCAUUUCGGUGUUAUUUUUCGUCGCACUGUUUGGUGACUCUGAAUAACUUUUGGCUGAUCGCACGGUCUUGCACCGGCGACGCAUCUUUCAAAUGUCUGCCUUAUCAACUGUCGAUGGUAGGUUCUGCGCCUACCAUGGUUGUAACGGGUAACGGGGAAUCAGGGUUCGAUUCCGGAGAGGGAGCCUGAGAAACGGCUACCACAUCCAAGGAAGGCAGCAGGCGCGCAAAUUACCCACUCCCGGCACGGGGAGGUAGUGACGAAAAAUAACGAUACGGGACUCAUCCGAGGCCCCGUAAUCGUAAUGAGUACACUUUAAAUCCUUUAACAAGGACUAAUUGGAGGUUAAGUGUGGUGCCAGCAACCGCAGUAAUUCCAGCUCCAAUAGCGUACAUUAAAGUGGUUGCGGUGAAAAAGCACGUUGUUGAAUCUGUGUUCCGCGCUGUCGGUUCACCGUCCGCGGUGUUAACUGGCACGUCUCGCGGAACGGCCUGCUGGUGGAUGUGAGAAUUUUUGUAUACUUUCCCAGAUAUAUUACGCAUGUGCAAAUUAUUGGGUUACAUAGUUCUUGGUAUUUAUAAAUAAAUCCAUUGUAAAUUAUUUAUUAUGCUAUUCUAUAUUUUGAAAUUUUUUGUUACUGUUUAGUGCUAUUAGGUUCAGGAGAUACAAAUCAAUCCAUAUCCGACUUAUAAAAUUUUGUCGCGGUACUCUUAACUGAGUGUCGAGGUGGCCCGGCACGUUUACUUUGAAAAAAUUAGGGCGCUCAAAGGAGGCUAAAAUUUUGCCUGAAUACUGUGUGCAUGGAAUAAUGGAACAAGACCUCGUUUCUAUGAAGUGUGAAAUUCUUGGAUCGUCGCAAGACAGACAGAAGCGAAAGCAUUUGCCAAAAAUGUUUUCAUUAAUCAAGAACGAAAGCCAGAGGUUCGAAGGCGAUCAGAUACCGCCCUAGCUCUGUCCAUAAACGAUGCCAGCAAGCAAUCCUCCGACGUUCCUCUGAAGACUCGACGGGCAGCUUCCUGGAAACCAAAGCCUUUGGGUUCCGAGGAAAGUAUGGUUGCAAAGCCAAAACCUAAAGGAAUUGGCGGAAGGGCAUCACCAGAAGUGGAGCCUGCGGCUUAAUUUGACUCAAUACGGGAUACCUCACCAAGCCCGGACACCGGCAGGAUUGACAGAUUGAGAGUUCCUUCUUGAUUCGGUGGAUGAUGCUGCAUGGCUAUUCUUAGUUGGUUAAGUGAUUUGUCGGGUUAAUUCCGAUAACGAACGAGACUCUAGCCUGC
rnacentral:rRNA from 1 species